rnacentral:rRNA from 1 species
UCUUCGGAGGCACCUGCACAGGUGCUGCAUGGCUGUCGUCAGCUCGUGUCGUGAGAUGUUGGGUUAAGUCCCGCAACGAGCGCAACCCUUAUCCCUAGUUGCCAUCAGGUAAAGCUGGGAACUCUGGGGAGACUGCCGGUGAUAAACCGGAGGAAGGCGGGGAUGACGUCAAGUCCUCAUGGCCCUUACAUCCCGGGCUACACACGUGCUACAAUGGCAGGUACAGAGGGCUGCGAAGCCGCGAGGUGGAGCGAAUCCCAGAAAACCUGUCUCAGUCCGGAUUGAAGUCUGCAACUCGACUUCAUGAAGGCGGAAUCGCUAGUAACCGCGAAUCAGCAGGUCGCGGUGAAUACGUUCCCGGGCCUU